UACGUAGGGUGCAAGCGUUGUCCGGAAUUAUUGGGCGUAAAGAGCUCGUAGGCGGUUCUGUCGCGUCUGCUGUGAAAACUCAGGGCUUAACCCUGAGCUUGCAGUGGGUACGGGCAGACGUAGAGUGCGGUAGGGGAGACUGGAAUUCCCGGUGUAGCGGUGAAAUGCGCAGAUAUCGGGAGGAACACCGGUGGCGAAGGCGGUUCUCUGGGCCUUACCUGACGCUGAGGAGCGAAAGCGUGGGGAGCGAACAGG
rnacentral:rRNA from 1 species